GGGGAAACCCACUGGCAUAAGCCAGUAUCAUUGAGUGAAUACAUAGCUCAAUGAAGCGAACCGGGAGAACUGAAACAUCUAAGUACCCCGAGGAAAAGAAAUCAACCGAGAUUCCGAAAGUAGCGGCGAGCGAAAUUGGAUUAGCCCUUAAGCUUUACAUGUGUUAGACGAACGGUCUGGAAAGUCCGACGAUACAGGGUGAUAGUCCCGUAGUUGACGAUGCAUGUUCAGUGAAAUCGAGUAGGGCGGGACACGUGUUAUCCUGUCUGAAUAUGGGGGGACCAUCCUCCAAGGCUAAAUACUCCUGACUGACCGAUAGUGAACCAGUACCGUGAGGGAAAGGCGAAAAGAACCCCUGUGAGGGGAGUGAAAUAGAACCUGAAACCGUGUACGUACAAGCAGUAGGAGCACCUUCGUGGUGUGACUGCGUACCUUUUGUAUAAUGGGUCAGCGACUUAUAUUCAGUGGCAAGGUUAACCAUCUAGGGGAGCCGUAGGGAAACCGAGUCUUAACUGGGCGCCAUAGUCUCUGGAUAUAGACCCGAAACCGAGUGAUCUAGCCAUGGGCAGGUUGAAGGUUGAGUAACAUCAACUGGAGGACCGAACCGACUAAUGUUGAAAAAUUAGCGGAUGACUUGUGGCUAGGGGUGAAAGGCCAAUCAAACUCGGAGAUAGCUGGUUCUCCCCGAAAGCUAUUUAGGUAGCGCCUCGGACGAAUACUACUGGGGGUAGAGCACUGUUAAGGCUAGGGGGUCAUCCCGACUUACCAACCCUUUGCAAACUCCGAAUACCAGUAAGUACUAUCCGGGAGACACACGGCGGGUGCUAACGUCCGUCGUGGAGAGGGAAACAACCCAGACCGCCAGCUAAGGUCCCAAAUUACAGCUAAGUGGGAAACGAUGUGGGAAGGCUUAGACAGCUAGGAUGUUGGCUUAGAAGCAGCCAUCAUUUAAAGAAAGCGUAAUAGCUCACUAGUCGAGUCGGCCUGCGC
rnacentral:rRNA from 1 species